rnacentral:rRNA from 1 species
CCUACGGGUGGCAGCAGUAGGGAAUCUUCCACAAUGGGCGAAAGCCUGAUGGAGCAACGCCGCGUGGGUGAAGAAGGUCUUCGGAUCGUAAAACCCUGUUGUUAGAGAAGAAAGUGCGUGAGAGUAACUGUUCACGUUUCGACGGUAUCUAACCAGAAAGCCACGGCUAACUACGUGCCAGCAGCCGCGGUAAUACGGAGGUGGCAAGCGUUAUCCGGAUUUUUUGGGCGUAAAGGGAACGCAGGCGGUCUUUUAAGUCUGAUGGGAAAGGCUUCGGCUUAACCGGAGUAGUGCAUUGGAAACUGGUAGACUUGAGUGCAGAAGAGGAGAGUGGAACUCCAUGUGUAGCGGUGAAAUGCGUAGAUAUAUGGAAGAACACCAGUGGCGAAAGCGGCUCUCUGGUCUGUAACUGACGCUGAGGUUCGAAAGCGUGGGUAGCAAACAGGAUUAGAUACCCGAGUAGUC